GACGAACGCUGGCGGCGUGCUUAACACAUGCAAGUCGAACGGAAAGGCCCUGCUUUUGUGGGGUGCUCGAGUGGCGAACGGGUGAGUAACACGUGAGUAACCUGCCCUUGACUUUGGGAUAACUUCAGGAAACUGGGGCUAAUACCGGAUAGGAGCUCCUGCUGCAUGGUGGGGGUUGGAAAGUUUCGGCGGUUGGGGAUGGACUCGCGGCUUAUCAGCUUGUUGGUGGGGUAGUGGCAUACCAAGGCUUUGACGGGUAGCCGGCCUGAGAGGGUGACCGGCCACAUUGGGACUGAGAUACGGCCCAGAAUCCUACGGGAGGCAGCAGUGGGGAAUAUUGCACAAUGGGCGGAAGCCUGAUGCAGCAACGCCGCGUGCGGGAUGACGGCCUUCGGGUUGUAAACCGCUUUCGCAGGUGACGAAGCGUGAGUGACGGUAAUGGGUAAAGAAGCACCGGCUAACUACGUG
rnacentral:rRNA from 1 species